GGACAGAGCAAUCAGUUGGAAGGUAUUUCCCCUCCCUGGUUUCUUCCAGUCCUGAGCGGAGCACUGGGGGCAGACGCAAAGGGAUGGCUGGUGUGACUCCUCAGUGGACUCUGCCCUGAAGAGGUGAUGUGUUCUCCAAAGGGCCCAAGUUAGUAUCCCAAGAGCCUCAGCAAAGGGACUGUGUUUUCCCCCAAUCAAGCCAAGAAAGAAAAAGACUGAAAACUUCAAUAGGGCAAAGGUGAUAAAAAUGUCUUUAUGGACCCUUGGGUAAAAUGGAUUGUUAGAUCUGGGUUGAAGAUCUGGCUUUGAUGCUAACCACCUACUGACCAGGAGAACAGGAUUUUGUCACUGAGGUGCCCAAUGCUGGGCUCCUGAAGACCACAGCUUAGUCAUGUGAGAUACCUGUCAACCAUGAGGAAGCCCAAGGGAUGGAUCAGUUCAAAGUGAAACCUCCUUGACAUUCUGUUGUAAGCGCCAAAUAGAAAGCAAAGGCAAGAAAGCAGGUGCACAGCCAAAUAAAUCAGAAGACCAGGAAGACAAGAGGCCAACAAGAGAAUCUCAGGAUGGAAGAAGAGAUUUUCCUAAAUGAAACGGGAGGUCCUCAGAAACUGCCUGGGUCAGCCUCACUUAAAAGUACAGGAGCAGGUAAAACUUGCCCAGGUGGUAACAUUGGAAACAUACAGGGUUUUGCACCUUCCAGUUAGUGCAUGAGAAAUGUGCUAUAACAGUACAUAGUAGAGACCUUGGUUAUGGUUAGGGUUUUGAUCAGCAAGCCAUUCCCUCGCCCUUUAAUUUCCAGGUCACACAGAGUGAGAGUCAACUAAGCCAAUAAAACAAGGUCAUGGACAUUUGCAGUAUGUACACAGAUUGUGAUGUGGUAGGCAAACUGGGAGUUAGGCAGGGGAUAGAGGAGAAAUAUUUUUUGGGUUUGACAUAUAUUCUGAAAUUUCAAUUCUUAAAAGUAUGCCAUCUUAAUGUUAUUAAUAGCACAAUUUUUCAAUUCCAUAAAUUUGGAACAAUUUAAUUGCUUCUUAGUUUUGCUUUUGUAUCAUGGCAAAAUGUUUCCAUGAGUACCUGGUUUAGGUCAUUUGAGUUGUAAUAGUCAUUUUAAUCAAAGAGUUAGCACACUUACAUUCAUUGAAAGUUUACUGAUGAAAAAACUGAAGCUUAGGGACCUUGAAUGAUUUUUUCCCAAUGUCAUAUAACCAUUAAAUAGCAGAAUUGGGAUUCCAUGCUAGGUCUGUCUGAUCAAAGCCUGUGUCUUGGACGGGCUGCCUGGACUCAGUGCUAGCAGUCCAGCCUUGCUUUCCUCUCUACUGUCUUCCCAGUAUGCCCUACACUAUAAGCUAGGGGUACUAGCAGCCAUGCCCACCCCAGAAGGAGUCCCAUCUAGGAGUGAGGAGGAGUUCUACAUAGCCAGAAGUGCUGAGACUGUACCCCUUGGUCCUGGAGGCAAAUAUUCUGGUCUGAAUGGUGAUAUGGGCCAGGCUGAGGACCUCCCAUCUACCCCAACCAUGUUAGACCAUUCUGCCUGCCGGGGUAUCUGACUGCUUCUUCCUUCUAUAUCCCACUCCCACUCUCAGAAAACUGAUCCUAACCCAGAGCUGCUGAGUGUCAGGUGCCUGACACUUUUGCCUAAUUCUUGAUAGUAGCUUUCUUGGCAUGGUCACUGGUUCCAGUAUCAUACCAAUGAUUGUGUGCUGACUUUCCUUACCUGUAUCUUGGACGUCUACUGGUUGACAAUAAUUAGCCCUUCUGGAAACUGGACACACCCUAUCCCACUCUACCAGGGUCCCACUAUGCCUAGGGUUCCCUAUAUUCUCAACUACCCAGGCCUUUGAGACUAAUCUGUAGGCAAGAGGAGUUAGGGAAGGAUGGCUUAUUAAUUAUGAUGUAUAGUUAACUUGUCCCAGCAAAUAGGCCAGUCUCAAGGAGAGGGACCCUGCACAUGAAAGGAGUGAACAAUCAAGUUAAAGGUGAGUUCAGAUUUCUGGGUAAGAUACACUUCAAACAGUGCUUAUGCUAUUUGGAGAUCAUGCUCAGGAAGCUGAGUUAGGAGAAACCUGCUUCCUUCCACUGCCUGGCUAAAGAGAUAGGACUCAGAAGGAAAUCCUGAUAUAGAACUAUGUCUGCCCUGGAGAGCCAGAGAAUCCCAAGUGGGAAAUGGAACAGACCUUUCCAUUUUACAUCCUCUCUUCCCCUUCAUCCAUUUGCUAAGGUUGUUGUUGUUGUUGUUGUUGUUUGUUGUUUGUUUGUUAUUUGUAGUGAUUUGUUUAAUUGCCCGUCUCUGGGUAAUAGUUUGAUCCCUGGGAGGGCCACCAGUUUACUUUUGCUCACCAUUGUAUCUGUCUGGGAUACAAAGAAUGUGCUCACUCAUUGUCAGCUACUGGAAACAAUGAGUAAGUGAAUGGUGGAAAGAACAAAAGACCCUCAUAUUAGAGAAUAAACUAUACUGAAGAAAAUAUAGUUCCCAACUGGCUUCCCAGAUACUGGGUGAGAAAUCCUUAAGUCUUGUUAAAACCAUGCACACAAUCAUUAUAAGCGUCAAGAUUAUAAUGAUGAGCAAUAGAACUGUUUUCUGCAUAUGCAUGUUGCACUUUUUAAAUGACAACUGUAAAAUGUCUUGCUAAAAUCCUUACAGCGCUGAAACAUUUAUAUUUGAGACCUACGCCAACAGAAUGGAUAUAUUUAAUACAUUGCUAGCAAAAAACCAUCUAAAAAUUCCCUUUUUGUUUUACCCCUCACCCUUCUCUCUCUACCCCAUGUAGAAGGGAGGACCUAGGCACCAUGGUGCAAAAGUCUACUAUAAUAUCACUCCCGGGAUUAUCUGGCUUUGGUACAUUUGUACAUAACAGUUCUAAUGUCACAGCAAGAAUUUUUUUCCCCUCCUGUUUAUUUCUCUGAAGCGAUAAUAAGCAAUCCUGCGUGACAUCGCCUGUGGAGCGGUUGCCAGGCAGCAGAAAGAGAUCUGCAGUA